rnacentral:rRNA from 1 species
AUGAACGCUGGCGGCGUGCCUAAUACAUGCAAGUCGAGCGAACAGACGAGGAGCUUGCUCCUCUGAUGUUAGCGGCGGACGGGUGAGUAACACGUGGAUAACCUACCUAUAAGACUGGGAUAACUUCGGGAAACCGGAGCUAAUACCGGAUAACAUGUUGAACCGCAUGGUUCAACAGUGAAAGACGGUCUUGCUGUCACUUAUAGAUGGAUCCGCGCCGCAUUAGCUAGUUGGUAAGGUAACGGCUUACCAAGGCAACGAUGCGUAGCCGACCUGAGAGGGUGAUCGGCCACACUUGAACUGAGACACGGUCCAGACUCCUACGGGAGGCAGCAGUAGGGAAUCUUCCGCAAUGGGCGAAAGCCUGACGGAGCAACGCCGCGUGAGUGAAGAAGGUCUUCGGAUCGUAAAGCUCUGUUAUUAGGGAAGAACAAAUGUGUAAGUAACUAUGCACGUCUUGACGGUACCUAAUCAGAAAGCCACGGCUAACUACGUG